CCUUACAAUCGCCCUGUUGGUGCUCGUGCCAGGGUUCUCCCUGGUGCAGUUAAACGGGAAGCAGGACGGUUCAGGCAUUCACACAUGCCACGCCCCACCUGCGCUGCCCCCGCAACGGUCAGCGGUCGAAGUGUUGGGGAUGAUGUCUCUGACGCUUCCACCCGUGCUCUCUUGCCACUGGACGCUCACGCGUCUGGGAAGGCUGCAUGGGUUGUACCGCUUAGCCCGGAUACCGGCCAACAGGGGGUGCUUUGCA
rnacentral:ncRNA from 1 species